rnacentral:rRNA from 1 species
UACGGAGGGAGCUAGCGUUGUUCGGAAUUACUGGGCGUAAAGGGCGCGUAGGCGGCCUACUAAGUCAGACGUGAAAUCCCCCGGCUUAACCUGGGAACUGCGUCUGAUACUGGAAGGCUUGAGGAUGGGAGAGGGAUGUAGAAUUCCAGGUGUAGCGGUGAAAUGCGUAGAGAUGCGGAGGAACACCGAUGGCGAAGGCAACCCCCCUGGGCUGACACUGACGCUCAGGCACGAAAGCGUGGGGAGCAAACAGG